rnacentral:rRNA from 1 species
UGCCCUAGUAACGGCGAGUGAAGCGGCAACAGCUCAAAUUUGAAAUCUGGCGUCUUCGGCGUCCGAGUUGUAAUUUGCAGAGGGCGCUUUGGCAUUGGCAGCGGUCCAAGUUCCUUGGAACAGGACGUCACAGAGGGUGAGAAUCCCGUACGUGGUCGCUAGCCUUUACCGUGUAAAGCCCCUUCGACGAGUCGAGUUGUUUGGGAAUGCAGCUCUAAAUGGGAGGUAAAUUUCUUCUAAAGCUAAAUACUGGCCAGAGACCGAUAGCGCACAAGUAGAGUGAUCGAAAGAUGAAAAGCACUUUGGAAAGAGAGUUAAAAAGCACGUGAAAUUGUUGAAAGGGAAGCGCUUGCAGCCAGACUUGCCUGUAGUUGCUCAUCCGGGUUUUUACCCGGUGCACUCUUCUAUAGGCAGGCCAGCAUCAGUUUGGGCGGUUGGAUAAAGGUCUCUGUCAUGUACCUCUCUUCGGGGAGAACUUAUAGGGGAGACGACAUGCAACCAGCCUGGACUGAGGUCCGCGCAUCUGCUAGGAUGCUGGCGUAAUGGCUGUAAGCGGCCCGUCUUGAAACACGGACCAAGGAGUCUAACAUCUAUGCGAGUGUUUGGGUGUCAAGCCCGAGCGCGUAAUGAAAGUGAACGGAGGUGGGAACCUUUCGGGGUGCACCAUCGACCGAUCCUGAUGUCUUCGGAUGGAUUUGAGUAAGAGCAUAGCUGUUGGGACCCGAAAGAUGGUGAACUAUGCUUGAAUAGGGUGAAGCCAGAGGAAACUCUGGUGGAGGCUCGCAGCGGUUCUGACGUGCAAAUCGAUCGUCAAAUUUGGGCAUAGGGGCGAAAGACUAAUCGAACUAUCUAGUAGCUGGUUCCUGCCGAAGUUUCCCUCAGGAUAGCAGUAACGUUUUCAGUUUUAUGAGGUAAAGCGAAUGAUUAGAGGCCUGGGGGUUGAAACAACCUU